GUGGGGAAUAUUGGGCAAUGGGCGAAAGCCUGACCCAGCAACGCCGCGUGAAGGAAGAAGGUCUUCGGAUCGUAAACUUCUAUCCUUGGUGAAGAUAAUGACGGUAGCCGAGAAGGAAGCCCCGGCUAACUACGUGCCAGCAGCCGCGGUAAUACGUAGGGGGCAAGCGUUGUCCGGUAUGAUUGGGCGUAAAGGGCGCGUAGGCGGCCUGGUAAGUCUGGAGUGAAAGUCCUGCUUUUAAGGUGGGAAUUGCUUUGGAUACUGUCGGGCUUGAGUGCAGGAGAGGUAAGUGGAAUUCCCGGUGUAGCGGUGAAAUGCGUAGAGAUCGGGAGGAACACCAGUGGCGAAGGCGACUUACUGGACUGUAACUGACGCUGAGGCGCGAAAGUGUGGGGAGCAAACAGGAUUAGAUACCCCAGUAGUCC
rnacentral:rRNA from 1 species